AUUGUCUUACUAGAUGGUUCGUUCAUUAGCAUAAAAUAAUCAGAGCUUUUGAAUACCAGCACUUCGGUUUAUGAGGUUCAGGUUUUUGUGAUCUCAUCUAGGAAGUAGCAGCAGCGGUAGAAGGAUAAAGAAGAGAGACAGACAGUGUGAGGGGGAAAAAGAAAGGAGCAUGCAACUUUGCUGUUGAAAUUAGCAGGUUUCCUUAAGAAGAGGCACCAGGCACUUGACAAAAAGGAGAGCACACAAGUUAAACUUGCCUGGAGGCAUAUCUAACUGGCACCUAGGACACAACACAGGAACUGAUUUGCCUUCUGUUGGCCCAAACUUGGUGGAAGACUUGGGUUCACCUAUAGAGAGAGACCGCGUGCUUAGACACUACUGUGGACCUCCUUCAGACUCCUUUUCCCCAGAAAACAGCUAA
rnacentral:lncRNA from 1 species